rnacentral:rRNA from 1 species
CCUACGGGAGGCAGCAGUGAGGAAUAUUGGUCAAUGGUCGGGAGACUGAACCAGCCAAGCCGCGUGAGGGAGGAAGGUACAGAGUAUCGUAAACCUCUUUUGUCAGGGAACAAAGGCGGGGACGUGUCCCCGGAUGAGUGUACCUGAAGAAAAAGCAUCGGCUAACUCCGUGCCAGCAGCCGCGGUAAUACGGAGGAUGCGAGCGUUCUCCGGAUUUAUUGGGUUUAAAGGGUGCGCAGGCGGUCUGUUAAGUCAGCGGUCAAAGCCCGGUGCUCAACCCCGGCCCGCCGUUGAAACUGGCAGUCUCGAGUUGGAGAGAAGUAUGCGGAAUGCGCGGUGGAGCGGUGAAAGGCAUAGAUAUCGCGCAGAACUCCGAUUGCGAAGGCAGCAUGCCGGCUCCACACUGACGCUGAGGCACGAAAGCGUGGGUAUCGAACAGGAUUAGAUACCCUUGUAGUC